GACGAACGCUGGCGGCGUGCUUAACACAUGCAAGUCGAACGGUGAAGCACCUUCCUUUUGGUGGGUGUGGAUGAGUGGCGAACGGGUGAGUAACACGUGAGUAACCUGCCCCCUUCUUCUGGAUAACCGCAUGAAAGUGUGGCUAAUACGGGAUAUUCUGCGCCUGCUGCAUGGUGGGUGUGGGAAAGAUAUUGUUUCGGUGGGGGAUGGGCUCGCGGCCUAUCAGCUUGUUGGUGGGGUGAUGGCCUACCAAGGCGGUGACGGGUAGCCGGCCUGAGAGGGUGGACGGUCACACUGGGACUGAGACACGGCCCAGACUCCUACGGGAGGCAGCAGUGGGGAAUAUUGCACAAUGGGCGCAAGCCUGAUGCAGCGACGCCGCGUGAGGGAUGGAGGCCUUCGGGUUGUAAACCUCUUUCGCC
rnacentral:rRNA from 1 species